GCCUGGUUGCCCAAGUUAGAGAUAGGGGCCUGCGGAAACAUGAAGAGGAUAAAUAGCUGUGUGAAGAAUGAAGAGCAUGUCCUGGAGGAGUUGGAAACAGAAGGUGAGAGGCAGCUGAAGAGCCUCCUUCAACAUCAACUUGAUACCUCUGUCUCCAUUCAAGAAUGUGUCUCUAAGAAAGAGAGCUUUGCCCCGGGUACCAUGUACAAGCCCUUUGGGAAGGAAGUAGCCGGGACAAUGACUUUAUCCCAGUUCCAGACACUACAUGAAAAAGACCAGGAAACCGCUUCUCUCAGGGAACUAGGGCUCAAUGAAACAGAAAUACUGAUCUGGAAAAGCCAUGUUUCAGGUGAAAAGAGGACAAAGCUGAGGGCCACCCCUGAAGCAAUACAGAAACGGCUUCAAGAUAUUGAAGAAAGGAUCUCAGAGCGCCAGCGCAUCCUUUGCCUGCCACAGAGGUUUUCAAAGAGCAAACAACUGACCAGGCGAGAAAUGGAAAUUGAAAAGUCUUUAUUUCAGGGAACUGAUCGUCACUCCUUCCUUAAGGCUCUUUAUUACCAAGCAUACCACAAAAAGACAAGUGCAGACAAGUACAUGACCUCAAUGAAGAGGAAGAUAAAAUUAGGCACAAAAGAUGAACCCCCAAAGAAGAACAAAGGUGAUCCCAUGAACAACCUGGAAAGUUUUUACCACGAGACUAUAAUGAAAAAGCGUCUUGAAGAGUUCCAACUUAUGAGAGGUGAACCCUUUGCUUCCCACUCACUGGUCUCAGCUACAUCAGUGGGUGAUAGUGGCACAGCUGAGAACCCAUCACUCCUCCAGGACAAGGGAAAGCAGGCAGCACAGGGUAAAGGCCCCAGUCUCCAUGUGGCAAAAGUUAUUGAUUUUCCACCUGAGCAGUGUUGGACUGGGCCUAAGAAGCUGACGCAACCAAUAGAAUUUAUCCCUGAAGAUGAGAUCCAGAGAAACCGUUUAUCAGAGGAGGAGAUCCGAAACAUCCCUAUGUUUUCUUCAUAUAACCCAGGGGAACCAAACAAGGUGCUAUACCUGAAGAACCUUAGUCCUCGGGUGAAAGAAAGGGACCUUAUCUCAUUAUUCGCUCGCUUCCAGGAGAAAAAAGGACCACCCAUUCAGUUCCAAAUAAUGACUGGACGCAUGAGAGGGCAGGCUUUCAUCACCUUUCCCAAUAAAGACAUAGCAUGGCAAGCAUUGCAUCAAAUAAAUGGAUAUAAACUUCAUGGGAAAAUAUUGGUGAUAGAGUUUGGAAAGAACAAACAGCAACAGCCAGCUGUCCAGGCUAUUCAGGAGGCCGAGGCGGGGGGAAUCAGUGGAGCCUGAUUCAAAACCAGCCUGUGUAAAGAGAAGUGAAAUCCUGUUUCAAAAACGAAAACCAAGAAAAAGUGACAUAGUUAAGAUCUCAGAAACAGUGGAGGUGGCCGUGAAAGGGACCUCUUCUGAGAUACACUACUACAACAUGGAAGAACCCUGAGAAUAUGUUCAGUGAAAGAAGCCAGUCACUGCUGAAGGAAAAUUGUAGGACUCAAUGUAGAUGUAGAUGAAGUAUCCCGAAUUGGUGUCACACACACACACACACACACACACAGAGAGAGAGAGAGAGAGAGAGAGAGAGAGAGAGAGAGAGAGAGAGAGAGAGAUAAAGGGUAUGUAGGGAUAACUAGAGUGGAUGGGAAUUCUUUGCAAGUAGAUGAAAAUGUUCAUAAAUUUCAUUAAUACUUGUAUAGCGAUGAAUAUACCAAGUGGAUGAAUUUUGUGGCAUAUGAAUCUCAGUGAAACUCACAAAAAUAGGAACUUGGACAUUAUCCAAAUGUCCAUCUGUCAACACGAAUGACUUAUGGCACAUCUAUUUAGUGGGAUACUAUGAAGCCAUUAAAACAGUGGACUCGAUCUAUGAAUAUAUUGUGACUUAUACCAAGUUUUUAUAUUAAGUUAUAAACUAAGAUGUAUGUAUGUAUAGUAAGGAUACAUUUUUAAGCAAAUAGUUCGUGUGUAUAGUUUGUAGAGAUAAUUUCAAAAUCAAUGUAGGAAAGAAAUAAGGAAUGUGUAUAACAAGCUGUAAACCUUCUGGAAGUGGGACUGUACAAGCUGAAAAGACACCUUCACCUUGUGUUGUGGUUUGGAGUGGUUUUUACCUUUUUCAAUAUUUUUUAAAUUAAAAUAAUUUUUAAAUAUUCUUACAAACACUUAGCUUCCAGAAUAUUUGUCAGAGCCACUCUGACGAUUUCUGACUUCACUCAGGACAAACUUCUAUUCAUUUGCUAUAUUGCUCACAUGAUUAAUGCUCCAAUUUUUGAUAACGUGUAAGGGAUGAGAAGUAAAGGACCCUGGUUACAGCUUCUUGCACAGUUACCCAGGGAUGUACUUCUCAGCCAGGAUUCCCAGAAGGGACUCCUUCGUCUUAGGUGGAAAACCUUACCUCCUCCUUACUAGAUCUACAGACCACAUCCAAAUGGAGAAAACUAAACUGGAAGAUACCUUUCAACUGGUGCAGAGAUAUAGAAACUGGUGUGUCCAGAUGAUGAAAUUCUACUCAGCAAUAAAAACUAAGGAACCACAUAUGCAACAACUUGGAUAAAUCUUAAAUGUAUUUUGCUAAGUAGAAGAAGCCAGACUCAAAUGGCUGCUUACUGUUAUAUUUCAUUUGUGUGUUUUCUGGAAAAGGUGAAGCAAUAAGGCAGAAAAACCAGGAGAUACCAAGUGUUGGCACAAGGGAUUUUUUUUAGUAAUGGGAACUUUAUGUUGUUUAUAGUUAAAAUGUGUAUGUGUUUGUUAAACUCAGAGAAUUAUACACCAAAAAGAAUGAAUCUUAAUGUAUGAUUUUAAAAAAAAAUAAAAGUAAUUUUAAUGAAACAAAGAUCUGCAAAG